rnacentral:ncRNA from 1 species
CGGGGUAGAUUGGUGCGCGUUAAGUGUAGCGGAGACGGAAUGUGAGCCGCUGACGAAACAAACAUCCAUUGCUAGCAUUUUUUCGUGUUAGCAAUGAAUGUUUGUGCGGUGCAUCAGUCACAUUCACC